rnacentral:SRP_RNA from 1 species
GCUGGGCGUGGUGGUGCAAGCCUGUAAUCCCAGCUACUCGGGAGGCUGAGGCAGGAGAAUCGCUUGAACCCAGGAGGCAGAGGUUGCAGUGAGCCGAGAUUGUGCCACUGCACUCCAGCCUGGGUGACAGAGCGAGACUCUGUAUCAA